rnacentral:rRNA from 1 species
ACUCCUACGGGAGGCAGCAGUAGGGAAUCUUCCACAAUGGGCGCAAGCCUGAUGGAGCAACACCGCGUGAGUGAAGAAGGGUUUCGGCUCGUAAAGCUCUGUUGUUAAAGAAGAACACGUAUGAGAGUAACUGUUCAUACGUUGACGGUAUUUAACCAGAAAGUCACGGCUAACUACGUGCCAGCAGCCGCGGUAAUACGUAGGUGGCAAGCGUUAUCCGGAUUUAUUGGGCGUAAAGAGAGUGCAGGCGGUUUUCUAAGUCUGAUGUGAAAGCCUUCGGCUUAACCGGAGAAGUGCAUCGGAAACUGGAUAACUUGAGUGCAGAAGAGGGUAGUGGAACUCCAUGUGUAGCGGUGGAAUGCGUAGAUAUAUGGAAGAACACCAGUGGCGAAGGCGGCUACCUGGUCUGCAACUGACGCUGAGACUCGAAAGCAUGGGUAGCGAACAGGAUUAGAUACCCUGGUAGGCAAGCG